CAGGGUAAACCCCGCCGGGAGCAAAACCAAAUAGAAGCGGUACAUGGCCGGUUUCCGGGCCACUGCUUGGGUAGGUUGCUUGAGGUGUCCGGUAACGGGCAUCCCAGAUGAAUGAUCACCGCCAUCCUUUGGAUGUGCACAGAACCCGGCUUACAGACUGUCUGACCCC
rnacentral:RNase_P_RNA from 1 species